UGGGGAAUUUUGGACAAUGGGCGAAAUCCUGAUCCAGCCAUGCCGCGUGAGUGAAGAAGGCCUUCGGGUUGUAAAGCUCUUUUAGUCGGAAAGAAAAGAUCAUAAUGAACAAUUAUGAUUCAUGACGGUACCGACAGAAAAAGCACCGGCUAACUACGUGCCAGCAGCCGCGGUAAUACGUAGGGUGCGAGCGUUAAUCGGAAUUACUGGGCGUAAAGGGUGCGCAGGCGGUCUUGCAAGUCAGAUGUGAAAGCCCCGGGCUUAACCUGGGAAUUGCGUUUGAAACUACAAGGCUAGAGUGCAGCAGAGGGGAGUGGAAUUCCAUGUGUAGCAGUGAAAUGCGUAGAGAUGUGGAAGAACACCGAUGGCGAAGGCAGCUCCCUGGGUUGACACUGACGCUCAUGCACGAAAGCGUGGGGAGCAAACA
rnacentral:rRNA from 1 species